CAGGCGCCGGGCCGGGCCAUAGAGAGGGCGGGGCGGCCCAGGCCGCAGGCCGAUCCCGGAGCGAUCCCGCGGGGCAGAGACGGCGACGCAGGCGGCAGCACCCGCGCCGGGCUACGGCGGGAGAGGAGACCUCGAGGACAUCUCCUCUGGGCCAUAUUCAAAGACUUGAGCUGCUGAAUCCGUAGGGAAGAUUUCAGCAGGGCUUUAAGUGCUUGGACAUUGGAGCUGUGCAAGAAGGAAGAGGGAUUCCUCCCCCCUUCCCUUUGCCUGCCAGCCUUUCUUGAGGAGACGGACCCACGACUGGAUGUGCCUCGGCACUGAGCACCGCAAGUGGACUUGCAAGAUGUCUUGUGCAUAUUGCUAAGAAUAAGUGCUAUUUUCACCUCUUGCCCGCCCUCCACCAACUGCUUGGGGCCACGAUUUCAGACUUCAGCUUGAGCCACAAAGAAUAAGUGACCUUGUUUUCCUGUUUGAAGGAGCAGGAACUGGAUUUUGCCUUCAUUUACUCCUUAAGGAGCUGCCACAGGACGAAAGGGCCUGCAUUUGCCAGUUCCUGGCUGGGGAGCUGUGCUCGAGGAAGUGCUGAGCAGGAAUUAAGCAUGCUGCCAUCACGCUGGGUUAGUUUUCCUCUUGGACCUAAAAACUGGAGCAAGCCACAACUGAGACAAGAAACCCUAUACCUGUCCUUUCUCCUCCACGCGUUGGCAUCCAGGUUUCAGAGGAAUUUCAUGGUGCAUAAGCAUCCUGGGAGAAUUUGCUUCUUGUUCACGCUGCGGAAGAGAAACGCUCCUGUUUCCACUCCGAUCUUACAAUGGCUUGUCAGUGACAAAACAUUCCCAAAUCCUCUCAUUUAUCAAAUGGCCAAUCCUGUUAACAGCUUAAGAAACAUAAUUACCUGCAAUCUCUUCUGCUGUUCAUUUUAUGCCUACACUUCCCUCUCACUGGCAGCUUACCAGCAGGCAAGGCAAGAGCUGAAGCACGGCUGCAGCCGUCGAGCGCUUCGGCAAUGCAGUUUCCUCUAAUCACCUGCGCAGUGAUCGCAGGAGUUUUGCCUCUCUGUUUAUGGGAAGGAGAAGGUGAGUAAGGAGGUGCACAGCCAAAAGUGUUGGCCAACAUGACCAGUUGUACGUAGGAGCCCAAGCACAGUUACGAUUGAAGUGCUGUUCUAUCCAUAUGGUGUGAAAUGCAUCGAUUAGGAUCUGCUUUUAGGGCACAAGAAAGCUCAGCCAGAUUUACUUGUGUGCACAAGUAAAUCCUGGGGUGUUCAGCCUGGAGAAGAGAAGGCUCCAGGGAGACCUUAGAGCAGCUUCCAGAACUGAAAGGGGCUCCAGGAAAGCUGGGGAGGGGCUCUGGAUCAGGGAGUGCAGGGAUGGGAUGAGGGAGAAUGGUUUCUACCUGAAAGAGGGGAGAUUGAGAUAAAAUCUUAGGGAGAAAUAUUUUGCUGUGAGGGUGGGGAGGCCCUGGCCCAGGUUGCCCAGAGCAGUGGUGGCUGCCCCAUCCCUGGAGGGGUUCCAGGCCAGGUUGGAUGGGGCUUGGAGCCCCUGAUCCAGUGGCAGGUGUCCCUGCCCAUGGCAUGGGGUGGGACUGGAUGGGCUUUAAAAUCCCUUCCAACCCAAACCAUUCCAUGAUUUUAUGAUUCUAUGAUUCUGUGAUUCUAUGAAACUGUGUUCUGGUGAAGUAAAUGGGAAAACUUGGAUUAGCUGGAGACAGCGUGAGCUCCUGAUUAAUUGCAUUGCUAAAACAGACUGAUUUUAUCGUUUUUCAUAGUAUAUUGACAACUUGUGAGAGGCAACGUUGCACAUUGGCUCAUUUGGAUCAAAUCUUGUGGAGAUUUUAGAAGGGCAGUGUUUGCAGGCUGGCUUCUGAAACGUUGGAUAUGUACAGGACAGUGGGAGCCAAAGAGGAGAUUCCCAGGGGUGUCCUACCCAUGCCAGCUGCCGAGGAAGAUGCCUUGUGUGCCUUAAAAUCUUGCACUAGCUUGACAUUAUUAUUGUCCAUUUUAACUGGCCGAAAGGUACUUCUCCAUUUCAACCUGUCUUCAGUUCCAAAGUAUUUUUCUUAUGCUUGAUCUACUCCUAUUUUUUUAACCAUAUCAGUUAUUUGGGAUCCUAAAUGAUAAACAUUUCUUCUGACACUUUCAUGAGUUAUUUUUAAGCAGUUUUUUGUGCUGCUUGCCAACAUUUUAUCCUUACAGUUCUUUGAAUUUUGUAUUAAAAACCCCCAUGAACAAACUGUACACAAAUCAGGCGGUCUUUUUUUAAAGUCAGAUAUCAUCUUAGGGGAUCUGGGUUUUUUUUCAUCCUGCUAAGAUACUGAAUUCAGGUAUAUUUUGGCCACUAUUAUAUUGUAGAAUAAUCCUUUCUCAAUAGCGAUUUGAACCUCAACUGCCGAAUUUAGCCAGAACUGCUGAAAGAAUUGAUUUUCUGCUUGAAAAAUAGUUUUAUUCACAUAAAAUCAUGGAAUGGUUUGGGUUGGAAGUGACCAUGAAGGUCAUCCAGUCCAGCUUCCCUGCCAUGGGCAGGGUCACCUCUCACUGGAUCAGGUUGCUCAGUCCCAUCCAAACUGGCCUUGAAGACCUCCAGGGGUGGGGCAUCAACCACCUCUCUGGGCAACCUGGGCCUCCCCACAUUCAGUGUAAAUAAUUUCUUCCUAAUAUAUAGUCUAAACAUCUCGUUUAGAUUUAAACCAUCAUCCCUUGUCCCAUUACUACAGGCACUGCUAAGAAGCUUCCCCCCAUCUGUCUUAUAAGCCCACUUUAAGUAUUGAAAAGCUGCAAUAAGGUCUCAGUGUGACCCAAACACCCCCAGACCCAGGUGCCAAAGACCUUUGGUGGCUCUGGGCUGCCUGCCCGGAGUCGUGCGCUGCGUGGGAACACCAAGGGGUUGGGUAAGAAACCAUGUGAGCCUUGAGGAGCGACUGAAUCUUGUGUUUAACGUGAUACCAUAUAUAUACAUAGGGAAAUAAAGAACUGCAAAUGCUUGAACUGUACCUAAAGAAAGUGAAAACUGCCCCAAUAAAAAAAAAUGUAGGGCAGCUGUGCUUUAAACAAGAACUUAUUACUUCUUUUAUGGCAUUUAUUUCAAAUCCUGCAAGCCCUUUGGAGUAGCUCUAGUGCCCAGUGGAGUUCUCCAACAGAAAUGUCUUGUCAUCAGUAUAGGAAACAAAGCUAAUGCAAUUUGAAUGCUGGAUGCGACUAGGUAGGGGCUACUCUUGAGGCUGCUUCUCCCUGCUCCAAAUGGGAGUGGUGGCCCCAAACAGCCUCACCAGGACAGACAGAAAAGCAGACAUCUCAUUUGUGAGGAAAUGGCCAAUAUCUCAGCUUUUUUCCCCCCCCAUUUGUUUCUUCCUGGAAAGAAUAGAAGCAAAACAGUUGCAUAAAAAAGCUGCUAUUUCAAAGCAAAUUUUAAAACAUUUCAGAUUUGCAAAUGGCAUUUCGGCAUUUCCAUGAGAAUAAAAUGAUGCUAUGAUGCUGCGUUUAAAUAUUUCAUUCCAGCUCCCUGAACAUACUUAAAAAUCUUAUUAUAAGUAGUUUUGACAUAAAAGUGCACUUCUCCGUGGUGCCCGUAGCUUCGACAUCGCCAGCUUCAAGCACAGCUGCAGGAGCCCUCCCUGCUCGUGGCUGAUCAAAGGCAACCACGCUGCCACCCGUGAGCUGCUGCUCGUCCCAGCCCAGGAGAAAAAACAGAUCCUGAACCUCCCGAGUGCUUCUUCCCUUGGGGCGAUGCCAUCAAUGAAAAAUCCACUCUGCUGUCGUCACCCUACUGUGAAAAGAUUCACAGGGCCAAACCCCAGGAGGGCAGAGGAGUGUCUGUAAAACAACUUUGGUGGGGUGUGAAGCUCUAAACUGAGCUCUUGCAGAAAAAUAUGGAUGGAAGAAACUCCUAAAAUCCCCAACCACCGGAAACAAAAUUGGUAUUUUUCCAAGUUAAGUACUAUAACAGAGCGAACAUACAUGUUUAAUUUGAAAAUGUUGAUUCCAAAUGGAUUUUCCUUUAGAAAAAACUUCCCCCGAGCAAGUCAAUAUUUGUAAUCAAAUUGAAAUUUCCUCUGGGAAUUAUUUAUUUUCAUGAGGUCUAAUUUUUGCAAGGGAAAAUACUACGCAGGAAGGUUUUAAGUUGCUUUAAACCAGCUUUAGGAAUCUGGGUGAUGGGAGGGGGCUGGGAAAUCCCACUCAGGCUGCAGCCCACUUGCCUUUGAUGAGAGUGUUCUGAUGGAAGAGUUAAAGUGCCUCUUGCUCUUUGAAGGGGGUGAAGAGAGAGCAGAAAAGAAGGGGAGAAACUGGAAAGGAGGAGGCAUUCAAUGCCAAUUUUCCGUCUCCCUACCUUAUACUUCUUGAAAACACGUCAGCAUAGCACAGGAUUCACCUCUGGCAGCGUCAGACAUCAAAGUAAGACAUCUGAGCUGGCUAUUUUUGGCUUCCUACAGAGCCAGAGGGGACACGUAGCACUUUAGGAUGGUGUGUAGUUCACCUACCCUUCUCUGACAUCUGCUACAGGGUGAGAUGCGUUGUGCCAUUGACUUCAUCUGCUUCAAACAGACGAGGAGCUGACGAUGACAGAGCCACGUCCACUGUAGCCUGAUGAAUCCCGUCUGCGCUGCCUGACCUGCUGUUGAUUUAUUGCUGAGGAACACGGUUGGGGUACUGCAACCCCUCCAUCGGCAACACAACACAGCCCCCGAGGAGGAGCAGUCACCUUAUAGUGCUGUUCGUGCAUUAACAGCGCUCCAGACCUCAAGAGAAGAGGACUCAUGAGUUUGCCACCACCUACAGGAAAGGCCUUAAGAGAAAAUUGACACGGCUCAGCCUAAAGAUCAUAGAAUUAUACAAUGAUUUGGGUUGGAAAGAACCUCAAAGCCAGCCCCAUACCCCCUGCCACAGGCAGGAACACCUCCCGCUGGAUCAGGGGCUCCAAGCCCCAUCCAACCUGGCCUGGAACCCCUCCAGGGAUGGGGCAGCCACCACUGCUCUGGGCAACCUGGGCCAGGGUCUCCCCACCCUCACAGCAAAACAUUUCUUCCUGAGAUCUCAUCUCAAUCUCCCCUCUUUCAGCUGAAAACCAUUCCCCUCAUCCCAUCCCUGCCCUCCUCGAUCGAGAGCCCCUCCCCAGCUUUUCUGGAGCCCCUUUCAGUCUUGGAAGCUGCUCUAGUGAUGAUUUUCUUGCAGAAGUUGUGUCCGUUUUAGAGCAACAGUUGGGGUUAAUGACGUGCAUAAUUUACAAUAUUAUGCCUUUUAUUCUUGUAUUAUGAUAAAUCACCUACCUCCGUGUUUCUUUUUAUUAUGAUGCGGUGGGAACACAAUACAGCGGUAGGAAAAGAACAAUACAGUGUGCACUGUCAGUCUAAAACACAGAACCAGCGCACCCAUGCUACAGACAUUCAGACGCACAGCACCGUGUCAGAUUAUUAGCUCCAAGGCAACUGCCAGCAUGCAGUUUUAUUGGAAAUGAAAACAAGGUAAUUCAAGAUUUAUUUGCUCUCUAAGAAAGCACCAGGAGGCAGGAGGCAGCCCCCAGCAUCUCCUGUAAAACAUCCAGCACGUGGCAACUUGCUGCCUGUUCAGCUCGUGUGUGUGGACCGGGGAUUUUUGAGUGACCUGUUCAAAAGGAGGAGGGUUUUCCUGUUUGUGCCCAUCCUGUAUCGUAACGGAGCGAUGGAGACUGACUGAAUCCAGUUUCACUCUACCCAGAGGGGAAUAAGCACACCCCAGUGCUGUGGCUCCAGGCUCCUGGGGGAUCUCAGGUGGCUCCACAUCAUGUAUCCUGGCAGCUGAGAGGGCCAACCGUGUCCUGGGCUGCAGCAAGCAUGGCAUCGCCAGCUGGUCAAGGGAGGGGAUUGUCCUGCUCUGCUCCACACUGGUGUGGUCCCAGUUUCAGCACUGGGUGCAGUUUUGGUGCCACGGGAUAAAAGGAUCUAAAGCUACUGGAGAGUGUCCAGAGAAGGGCACGGAGGUGGUGAGGGGUUUAGAGGGGAAGCUGUAAGAGGGGUGGCUGAAGUCACUGGGUCUGUUUAGCCUGGAGAAGAGGAGACUGAGGGGAGACCUCAUCACAGUCUACUGCUUCCUCACAAGGCGAAGAGGAGGAGCAGGCGAUGAGCUCUUCUCUCUGGUGACCAAUGACAGGGCCCGAGGGAAUGUCAGGAAGGUGCCAGGGGAGGGUUAGGCUGGACAUUGGGAGAAGGUUCUGCCCCCAGAAGGUAGUGGAGCACUGGAACAGCUCCCAGGGAAGCAGUCACGGCACCAAGCCUGUCAAUAUUCCAGAAGAAUUUGGUCAACACCCUCAGCCCCACAGUGUGUAUGUUGGGGUUGUGCUGUGCAGGAACAGGAGUUGGACUCAAUGGUCCUUUUUGGUCCCUUCCACCUCGGGACAUUCUAUCAUUCUAUGAUCAUCAAAGCUCCAGAAGCAAAACCUGACUAUUUUCUAACUCAAAAGUGUUUAUUAUAUUGCUGCCUUAGCUCCUUUUCUGACCAAUGAUGAACUGAUCACCAAACAAAACUCCUUAUUAACAAAUAUCUACCAUGCCCUGAUAUUGUUGCUCUGCCCCAAACCAGCCUGUGCCUGGGCACUGGUACAGUGGCCAGAGAAGGGCCCUGGAAACAUUUAGCAUCUGGGGGAAAAACUAUUGGAACAAUCUGAGUAAUCGAUUUAGAGUCAUAAAAUCAUAGAAUCAUAGAAUGACCUGAGUUGGAAGGGACGCACAAGGAUCAUCAAGUCCAACUCCUAUCAUAGAAUCAUAGAAUCAUAGAAUAGUUUGGGUUGGAAGGGACUUUAAAGAUCAUGCAGUUCCAACCCCCAGACAUGGGCAGGGACACCUCCCACUGGCUCAGGCUGCCCAAGGCACAUCCAACCUGGCCUUGAACACCUCCAGGGAUGGGGAAGCCACAACUUCCCUGGGCAACCUGGGCUGAUGCCUGUAUACCUUCAUAGUGAAUAAAUUCCUUCUUAUAUGUAGUCUAGAAGUAGUUGAAGAUGAUUUUAAAAGAUGCCGUAAGUGUGUUCCAAAAAGCCACGCUGAUUUAAAAAGAAAUGAAAAAAAUGCACCUUGAUUAGAUGAAAGGCAAAAUAAGCAAUAAAACUAAAUAAGCCAACCUGUAUAAUAAAUGGGAUAAGAGCAGGCUGACAGCAACAAUCAUUGGUCAGAAAGCAAGAGAUGCAUAGAGUGUCUGACAUAACCUGUGUUAUGAAAGGAGCCUUAAUCGAGAUGGAGAGGUGGUUCCCACCCCAGGUGUUUGGGUGGGCAGUUGUGUUGGCUGUCCUGAAAAGAGAGGGCAUGGCAGGGCUGCUCUGGAGUGGUCUGUGUUGGUAAGUUGAAAUGGAGAUUUGCUGUUGUGUUUUGGACAAGACCGAGUGGUUUAUGAAAUGUGCCCGCCUCCCGCCACGGAUAUAGAGAUUUGAAAGAGCCGAAAAACAAAGCCUGGAAACCCAAUUCUUCAAAAGAAUAUCAUAGAGUCAUAGAAUCAUAGAAUGGUUUUGGUGGGAAGGAACCUCAAAGCCCAUCCAGUCCCACCCCCUGCCAUGGGCAGGGACACCUCCCGCUGGAUCAGGUUGCUCCAAGCCCCAUCCAACCUGGCCUUGAACACCUCCAGGGAUGGGGCAGCCUUCACUUCUCUGGACAAAUGGAAACCCACUUCUCUUCUUGCCUCCCCAUCAAUCUUUUUUAGCUCUGCUGUCACUCUUAAUGACAGAGAAAGAAAAUCUUGAAGGGUUUUCAUGUCUUCCAGAGGAUUGACAUCACUGGCAGGACCAAAACCUGAUGUGUUCAGCAUGCUCAGGUUGCGCUUGCUGCCUGCAGACAGUUGGUUUAGAACAAGUCUGGCAUUUUCCAGGGUAGUUAACAUGCACCAUGCACGAGCAAGAUCCACGAUGCCUUCCAGCACCCUCAAAAUGAUGCUGAAGACUCCUAACACCGCUCCAUCCUCUCAGCGCCCAACAGCUGUGACUACCAUAGAUGCACAGAUCGACCAGGGAUGAGGGAAGGCAGCAGUAGGAGAGAUUGCUGCUGUGAGCUGAGAGAUCUGCACACAAAAUGUUUUUUUUCUAGUCGGUUCCAGUAGUUUUACUGCGUCUGAGGCUUGGAUCCAGGUUCUGCAGGCUGGAAGCUAGAGAUGCUGUGAAAGGCUUGCUGUCAGCCUCAGAGGUGGGUGCUCAGGAUCUUCUGUUUGCCAGCCUUGGGAUGGAGUGGUGGUAAAGAUCCCCCCUCAAUACACUCAGGCACCUGGGAAGCUUUCAGCCACUGCUGGCGUUGGCACAGAAACCGAAAAGACAUUUACUUCCAAGAGCAGAUGCAAACACAGCGACCUGCCAAUUGGCCCAAAUCAAAUAAAACCUGACCUCUGAUGAACUGGAGCUGUAAUGCUUUCAAACAACCCUGCACUCAAUAUUGGCAAUGUAAUCGUUUACCUUUGAGACUUGAGGGCUGAAGGAGAAACAGAACCUGAAGCUCCUGGAGAUGUUUCAUUACCAUCAUUUCUAUUAUUGAUAGGAAGCCAGGAAGCCCCCAUGAGAUCCUUCAGCCCGGCUCCAGGAGAGCCUGCCUGCACCUGCUCCCCAAGGAAAAGCACAACAUCUAAGAGCUGAGUUUUAUUAGAGCGCCUCAACCUCUUUAGUCACAGAAAAUACAGAAUAAGAUUGAAUAGAAAGAUUCUCCCCUAGCAGGUGGGUCCUUUCUUUCAGGUUUGUUUUCAAUCCUGCAACCCCCAGCCCCCGCCUGGGUACCCACACACCCACACAGCCUUGCUGGCCCCUACAAAAAAACCCUUUCAUUCCUUUGGAAUGGGGCAGAGACCCCAAGGGAACAAAACUUGGGGGGGGUGCAGACCCUGGGCAGACUUUUGGGCCAUGGCUGAGGCUACCAGAGAUGUCGAUAGUUCCCACUGCUGCAAACCAUGGCUCAGCACAGCCCUUCUCGUCCUCUGGGGUCAGCAAUGCCCCUACUGCCUCUGGGGGAAAGAGGUGGAAUCCGUGCACAGCCCAUCCUUUACCCAUAGGAUGCCCUACAUUUCCAGGUGUAGAGGAUGACCAAACUGUCCAUCCUUCUCCUUGCCCCAUGGAAAACCACUUUGCACCCUUGUAGCAGCAGCAGUGCUUCACCAGCACCAGGCAGUGGUACCCCGGGCAACCCAAACUGCCCCAAUAUCACCAACACAUACAGUCAGGGCUGAGUCCCUGCUGUGAUUUCAUAGAACCAUGGAUUGUGGUCUUAUAUACACACACACACACACACACACACACACACACAAAAGCAGGUAUUUUUAAACCCAGGAAGUUCUCAUUACCUCUCCAGGGCUCAGCUCCUGCUGCUGCUGGGGCUCAGUUGGGUGGGUUUCAGGAUGCGGUGUGAGGACAAAGGUGGGAAAGCAGCAGCACUGGGUUCACAGCCAAGGGAGUAACCAGAUCCAGAGGGAGGUAUCCCUGCCCGUGGCAAGGGGGUUGGAACUAGAUGGGCUUCGAGGCUCCUUCCAACCCAAACCAUUCUCUGAAACUCUCUCUGCAGUAGCACCCUGCACACUGAGCGAUUCACAAGGAUGGGUUUUUGCAGCCCUCGGGCUGCUCGUAUCCACUUCCAGCCCAUGAGUCACCCCACAGCAGAGUGCGGACAAAAUCCCUCGCCUGUAAGUGGUCCCUCGCAGCCUGCCCUCCUGGAGGUGAUGGCCACCGAGAUGUUCAGCCCAGGGGUCUCGCUCCAAGGCCCUGUGCACAUAUCUGACACCACACAGCCAUGUCAAGCCCUGCCCCGAUGUGGCUGUUCAGCAAUACAGCAGCUGGUGUGCUGAGGGCUGCUGUCAACGAGGGAGCCUGUAAUCCCCCCCAGCCAAAAGUGCCCUUUCUCCGGGGCGUGUGAAAGCCCAUGUUGGACUCCACAGGGCUGUGCUGCUUUCUCUGUGCUGGUUUUAGCUGAGAAGCUGAAGGGACCCAUCCAGGAGCCGCUGAACGGCAUCACAGGAGAUGUAGCAGGACCUGAAAUUCCCCAGAGCUGGAGAGGUGCACGUGCUGCACCCACCUUCUCCUGCUUCCCUUAUCACCCUGCUGUCCCCAGCGAGCUGAGCACGUCUCCAAUGCCUGCAGAAGGGAAACAGCUGAUGGCAUCUCCCCAAAACUUGGCAUCGCAGCUCUCUGUGCCCAGCAGGCGGGCAGCAACACCAGGCUGGGGCAACACAGCUCCUCCAGCUGCCUCUUGCCAACAAGCCCUGGUCCCUGCACCCUCCUCAAAUCCAGAUGCAUGGAAAAAACCUGUGAGAUGACAGAGAGCUCUUUUAUUCCUGCCAUAAUUAGUCCCUUUGGAAUUCAAUUAACAAGCUCCCUGCCGCAGCUAUCAAACCGUCAUCAGUUAGGCAAACAGGCGUACAAGCCAGGCCCGGUCCUUGCGAGUACAAUAUAAAUAUUUCAACAUGUCCAAGGGGAGCCUGUCUUUCCACCCCCUUUGCAACCUACUUUGAAGUGUUUCCCUGCUGGUGGGAAUUGAAGGGCUCUGCUGCUGACCAGAAGCACCUUUGCCCCAACCCUGCUCCCCCUUCCCAGCUGGAGAGCACCUACCCUGCCCAAGGAGUGCCAGGGAAAAGCGUCAUACCUGGUAUGACCACGGCGUCACAGGGCUGACCCUGGUGGUGCAGGGUCGGUGUCGUGCAAGGUGUGAAUACGCUGUCAGCUCUGCUGUCCCUGUGUGCUGGCGUGGUGCUAGACACGUAGGCAGGCGCCGAGCGUCAGCCGAGCGGUGUUGCCUUGCCUGUCUCUGGGGUGCGUGAUCAGGCUGGGAUGUGCACCGGUGAUGGUGAAUAACAACCAUUGCUGCAGGGGCUGCAUAACUCUUAUUUUUAUGAUUUUCUGGCUUUUUCUACAAGUUUGACCAGGCUGGAAAUGGAGAAGCUGAUGUUAUCUGAACUUCUGGAAGUGGGGAGAAGAGAGCUCAAUUCAAUCCGCUCUGUUCCAGUGGAGUUGGGGUUGAAAUAGGGCUUUAGCUUGGGGAAGAUUGCCUGCAGGAAAGCUGGGGAGGGACUCUUGAUCGGGGAGGGCAGGGAUAGCAUGAGGGGAAUGAUUUUCAGCUGAAAGAGGAGAUUGAGAUGAGAUCUUAGGAAGAAAUGUUUUGUUGUGAGGGUGGGGAGGCCCUGGCCCAGGUUGCCCAGAGCAGUGGUGGCUGCCCCAUCCCUGGAGGUGUUCAAGGCCAGGUUGGAUGGGGCUUGGAGCCCCUGAUCCAGUGGGAGGUGUCCCCGGAUGGACUGGAUGACCUUUGAGGUCCCUUCCCACCAAACCAUUCAAUGAUCCUAUGAAGACAUUAUGUACAUCUCCAUCCAGGGAUGACUCUGGGGCCAGGGAGGUGGGAUGCUUGAUACCGGGAGCAACAUUCAUUGGACACAGCCUUGCCUGUGCCUGCUAGAAAAGCACUGGGGUGUGGCGCCCUGCACUACAGGUGGCUGAAGAAUGGGGCCUUGCACAAAGGUCUCCAAACCUCCUCUGCACCACCAAAUGCACCUCUCUGUCCUCAGAGAUUUGCAUGUUCCUGUUUUUGUUUGAGCUAAAGCAGAAUUGUUUUUCUAACCUUUGAGCUAAGCCUCAUCUAAGCAAAUCAAUUUUCUGAAAGUUAACUGCAUAUUUUCUCUCUAGAAGUGAUAACGCGGGGCACUGGGAUGCAGAAGGGCCAUUGUUGGCAUCUGUCCCUGUGGAGAUGAAGGCCACCCUUGAGCUGGUGGAAUGCUGUAAGUGCAAAGCGUGAAAAAGGAUCAUACCUACAGGGUGGGGCAGUCUGGACAGGUGACCGAAACUUGACCAACAGAGGAUUCCAUCCCAUGUAGGUCAUACUUGGGAUAAAAUG